AGAAAAAUUAGAUAUACUUAUAGACGACGAAGAUGAAGAUGAGGAGAACGAUAGCAAGGAAAUGGCAGCCUUCCCUGGCUACGACAAGUGGGCUUGACAAAACCCAUCGACGCAAGAUCAUGAGCUUCUUGACAGAUAAUGGCUGCAUAGGUGUAACCUGAUGACCUUGUGAUUUCAACAGGGACUAAAUAUCACGAGUCAAGUGGGCUCUAAGCUAUAGACCUUCACAGAGUGCAGACUCUUCUUUAUUUACAUGAUGAGUGCUGCAGGGUAAAGCUGGGAAUUGAUGAGGUCCAAUCUAGGAGGUUUCUGUGACUGAUGGAGAAUCCAAGACACAUGGUCCAAGUCAGCGAAAUAGCUACAAGAUAAACAGCUCAGUGGCAUUGGCAAGAGAAAGUUGUAUUCUGCUUGUAAAAUGAAACGGCUGUGCCAAGUAACCAUUCUACAGAAGUACUUGUAGCAGGAAGUGAUCAAGGGAGAAUAGUGUUAGCCUUAAACAUUUUGCAGCAGAGCAGUAAGACAUACAUCACUCUUUCAUGUGUUAAGUGUUGGUAUUGAAUUCCUUACCAGACAUAUCUCAGGUGGCCAUAACAUGUUAUACACAAUGUCUGUGGCCAGACCAAAUCCUGUAGAUGACAGAUGGUUACUUUAUACCACUAAACAAUGCUUAGUCAUUCCCAUUCCCGUACUUGUUUCACAGCCUCAGUCUUAUUAUGCAUGCUACUGCAGGUUGUCUGGGUGAAAUUAAGGGAUACAGUGUUUAAAUUUUCCCAUAACAUUUUUGCUGUAAAUGAAAUCAAAUAUCAAGAGAUUGUGGGUGAUAGACUUAGACAGUAAAUUAUACUUUUAAUGAAUUUUUCAAAGUGGACACAGUUCAACUAUAGGUUUAAUAUUUAUUACUUAGAAAGAGUUUGUUUUUGUGUAUUAAUUUGUCCUAAUUCUUCAAAAAAUAUCUGUAUAAAGUCAUUUGACAUCACUUAAUUUUUUUAUUUGUGUUCAUAUAUGUUUGGGUUUCAAAGUAAUUUUAUUUCCACUAAAGAAAGUGCUGCGAGCUGUGAAUAUACAAGUUCUUCAACACCAAACUUUUGUUAAAGCAUCUAACAUAUUUUUUCUUCAGAAUGAAUAGAAAUAAGCAUCUACUGGUAAUAGGUCCGGUUUCACAUGUGCAUAAUGGUGACAAUUAUACAAAAUAAAUGUCAGAAUCUCUGUUAAACAAAAAUAUUCACUCUUCAUUCAUUAUCAUCCAUUCAUUCAUUUGACCAAAAUCAUUCAAGCAUUUAGUUGAGAAAUAUUCCAUGUAAACUUUCAGUACAAAGCAAUCCAUAUUUCUCCACAAAGACUAAGAAUUCUCUUACUGCUGUGUUAUCAGCUAAUUUGGAGAAGGCAAAGUGAAAUUCUUAAGUUUAAAAUGAUUUCCUAAAUUUGAUGUAUUAUUUCAUUAGAAAGCAGACCUGUCAUAGAAAUGCCAGAAGAAAUUUCUUUUACUCUAUCUGUUCACAGGGUAACUUUUGUUCUUGCAUUGUAUUUAGAGGGAAAUGUUACGCCACAGUCCAAUUUUUACCCAUAAUUUCUGUAGUGAGGGCAAUUUUAUUGUGAUGGCAGAUGUUGGUGUACCGCUAACAAAACACAAUGUCUCAAAUGUGACGGUCAAAAUGAUCACUGUGUAGAUAUGUUUUAACCGGUGAAGGCCAAACAUUUCAUUCAAUGGCUGAGUUUCCCAUUAUACAGUAUUUUAUUUGUUAAGUUGAUUGUAAUUAUAAAAUGCAGGUGAUGUGAGUUGAAUCAUCAGUAGCAUUAACUGCAGUGAGAAGCUAAUUUUGCCAAAAUUUUGAAUAAGGAGUCUACACUAUUACAUAUAUAAUGUAAGAAUUGACUUUCUGUAAGACAAAAACUAUUUUAAUAUUACAACAGUCGAUACACUAGUUGGAUGCUCGCUAUGAUACCAUUUCUGUGACGGGUACCUGUACGGUCUGAUUGAAACCUAUAUCCUUGACAUAUUUUAUAAAAAAUCUUAAACAAGAACAUGUUUGGGCAAAAAAGCUGCAGUAGUGGAUUUUGUGACAUCUGCAAAAUUAAUCUUUCAGGUGUGUAACAAGGACCAUCCUGAACAUAGGUCUCAAACAUAAUGAUUGUCAGUGCGCUGAAAAUAUCAAUUUAGCAAUUGUCUGGAGAACAGUUGGGAAGACCAGCUUUCUUUUCUUGUUCUAUUUAAGUCAUGUAUGGAACGAAACCGCAUUGGUACUUUAAGGUUUUAAGUUGAAAAGCUUUUUUGACAAUAGAAAAAUUUAGCAGUCUGUUGGUAUAUUUUAACUUAAGUCAGUUAAAGGGUUCAUGUAAUCACUGCUAAUAAUUGUAGUUCCACUGCAACCACAAAACGGUAAAAUACACAGUGACGGUUUCAUUGAAUAAACUGUAUACCAGGAACAUUUCGCUGCAGAUCAAUUUUCUCCUUUUCCGCCCUCUGUAACUAGGGAAAAUUCAUUAUUACAAUGAAUAUAGAAAGACAACAUAUUCUAAUUCAUCUGAGAUAUAACAUGAGAUUUGAUUGGUCAAUCCAAAUAAUUUGCAACAUUAUGACCAUGCUCUGCUCUGCGUCACCAGUAAAACUCAAUUUGCGACAUUAUAUACUAUAAUCACGUUAUACUGCUGCAAAUUUCAAAAUGCAGUAGGUUAUCCCCUAAAUAUACAUAGUAAUUUAAUGUGAAUGACGAAAUUUACGUUGGGAGAAAUUAAAUUGAUGGGAAAAGGGCAAAAGUUUCACUAGGCAAAAUAUUCCUGGUAUGCAGUAGCAUACAUUUAAAUGGCGCACUCGAUUGAUCUAUAUCAUUGUAACUGGUCAAACAAUUAGUAAAUUGUGACCAAUAAAGAAAUAUACCAAGUACAACUAAUCCAGUUAUGAAUUAAGAAACAGAUGGAUAAAGAGUUCACAUUUGAUCAGAGUUUAAAAGUUUGAUAAAUACAGUGUGAGUGAUAGUGCUAAAGUUAAUGAAAAGAACAAUUCUCUACACCUUUUCUAGGACUUGUUCGGAGUCAUUGUUGAGCUAUUAUCAACCAUAGCAACAUAUAAGUAUCAAAAUUAGUGUUAAAAAAGCAUAAUCAAUGUUGUCCUUUCCAACUUAAGGUUUGUUUGGUAUUUUAUGGUUAUGUUGUAAUGAUGUACUGUAUAAUGACUAAUGUUUGUGUGACAGAAAAUUUGCUGUUUUUCAAGUAAUAGUCGAAAUAAUUGGUGGGCUAUGCAUAAUUUUAACUGAAACUUAUAACUUAAAAAAUAGACAUUUCUACUGCUGUUUUUUCUUAAAAACUUUGCAGCAUUGAUGUAGAUUCUGGAGAAAAAUUCCAAGAAAUGAUUUUUUUAUGAGUCAAUGUAACAAGUUCGCUUUGUGUACAGUAUGUUACUAUAAAUGUUUGUACGGUUGAUCGGAUGUACAUAGUGAGAACAUAUGUAAUAUUCAAACUUAUUUAUGAAAUGUGGCUUUCUGCCCAGUGUCUAUGCUAUUUAUAGUGUGUACAUUCUUAAAGAAUACUUGAUCUUUAAUCUUUAAACGUUUUAAAUUUGGAUUCUUCUGAAUUUUUAUAUCAAAACAAUAGUAGCUUAUUUUAUUCCUGUAACUAAUGUAAAUUGAUAUUUAUUUUGUAUAGUUGUAAAUACCUGCUGGCAGCAGACCGUUUUACCCCUGAUAUUGUACAUUUUAGCUACAAAGCUUGGCUCCUCGUCCUCUUUAGCUGUGGCUGUUUUGGUUUACGUCCAUGAUCCGUCUCUGAUGAAUCGUAUAAAAUAAUUCAGGGAUUUCAAUUUUGAAUUGAACUAUUGUGUUUCAUAAACACUACAUUUUCCUGAUCACUGUUAUUCAAUGGAGUGCAUUCAAGCAUGGCUUGCAACUCUUUGACUGUGUUUGUUGUUUAAUGGAAUUGAUUUAAUACAGAUUCAUGAUUUAUUAAUUAGUGUCUGCGAUUCAUUAGAUUGAGAAAAAGUCCCAAUCUUGUACAUUUUGUCAAAGUUUUUUUCCCCUUCACCCGAAUAGACAGUACACCUAUUACAUUAACUUAAAUGUGCAUUUUAUGAUAAAAUUGUUAUUCAGCAAAGGACAAUUUCUCACAUGUAAUUUCAUUAUUAUCAUCCAUUCAUUCAAAUUUUUAAAUUGUUUCUGUUACAACCAUGAUAAUUAGAUGUCAGUAAGAAGUGAGAGAGCCUACUGUGGCAUCCUGUUUUAUUUAAGUGUGUCUAAGUGUGUAUGAAUGUUGAUGUUCCCCAUACAUCCUUCUUCAGUCUUUACUCUCCUUCAGGUUGAAAUAGGAGGGGGACUGGGAACUUGAUCUAGGGAUGAUUUAUGGAGGUUCUGGUUGAAAUUUGGUCGAAGUGAUGUAUGAAAGCCAUGGCAUAAUGCAAAGCCAGAGAAAUACGUGGAUAUUGUCUGUAAGGCGUGAUCAAGUGUAGAUGGAGUGCAUCACAAAUUUCAUUCAAAUAAAUGAAAUCAAAUAA
rnacentral:lncRNA from 1 species